CAGUCGCCGCGGGAAUACGUAGGUGGCAAGCGUUGUCCGGAAUUAUUGGGCGUAAAGGGCUCGCAUGCGGUUUCUUAAGUCUGAUGUGAAAGCCCCCGGCUCAACCGGGGAGGGUCAUUGGAAACUGGGAAACUUGAGUGCAGAAGAGGAGAGUGGAAUUCCACGUGUAGCGGUGAAAUGCGUAGAGAUGUGGAGGAACACCAGUGGCGAAGGCGACUCUCUGGUCUGUAACUGACGCUGAGGAGCGAAAGCGUGGGGAGCGAACAGGAUUAGAUACCCGCGUAGUCCCUGUCUCUUAUAC
rnacentral:rRNA from 1 species